rnacentral:rRNA from 1 species
CCUACGGGGGGCUGCAGUGGGGAAUAUUGGACAAUGGGGGCAACCCUGAUCCAGCCAUGCCGCGUGUGUGAAGAAGGCCCUCGGGUUGUAAAGCACUUUCAGUGAGGAAGAACGCCUGGUGGUUAAUACCCAUCAGGAACGACAUCACUCACAGAAGAAGCACCGGCUAACUCCGUGCCAGCAGCCGCGGUAAUACGGAGGGUGCGAGCGUUAAUCGGAAUUACUGGGCGUAAAGCGCGCGUAGGUGGCUUGAUAAGCCGGUUGUGAAAGCCCCGGGCUCAACCUGGGAACGGCAUCCGGAACUGUCAAGCUAGAGUGCAGGAGAGGAAGGUAGAAUUCCCGGUGUAGCGGUGAAAUGCGUAGAGAUCGGGAGGAAUACCAGUGGCGAAGGCGGCCUUCUGGACUGACACUGACACUGAGGUGCGAAAGCGUGGGUAGCAAACAGGAUUAGAUACCCCUGUAGUC